AUUGAACGCUGGCGGCAGGCCUAACACAUGCAAGUCGAGCGAGCGGCGGACGGGUGAGUAAUGUAUGGGGACUGCCCGAUAGAGGGGGAUAACUCCUGGAAACGGUGGCUAAUACCGCAUACUAUCGGAUAACCCAUAUGGGAUUAGCUAGUAGGUGGGGUAAAGGCUCACCUAGGCGACGAUCUCUAGCUGGUCUGAGAGGAUGAGCUGCCACACGGGGACUGAGACACGGCCCAUACUCCUACGGGGGCAGCAUUGGGGAAUAUUGCACAAGGGGCGCAAGCCUGAUGCAGCCAUGCCGCGCGUAUGAAGAAGGCCUUAGGGUUGUAAAGUACUUUCAGCGGGGAGGCGUUACCCGCAGAAGAAGCACCGGCUAACUCCGUGCCAGCCGCCGCGGUAAUAC
rnacentral:rRNA from 1 species